UGGGUAUGAGUCACAGGCAAUUCCGUUUUGUUUGGGACCAUGAGACCUCCCACUCCUGGGGCCAGAAGGAGUUGCUGAGAAGGAGCUGUGGUUCUGACCUUCAGGGGAAUUCCCACGUCUGUAUGGUGGCUCGUGAAGAGCAUGGUUCCUUUUCUCAGCCCUCUUGAGGGGCGAGGAUGCUGAGGACUGAAGUCGGUGGGGCUUGAUGCAUGUGGGCCUGCUCUCUGUCAUGUGAUGCUAUACUACAGCCAGGCUGGAAUUUGGUGUCUUAUUGCUACAAAGAAUCAGCUUUGUCAAUCCUAAGGUCACUGAGAGGCUGCCAGAGGGCCAUUUUCAUGACCAGAGGGAUCUGUUCAACACCCUGUGGGUCCCAGCACCUAUCUCAGGAAGCAGGGUGCAUCUGUCCACCACCAAGUCUCAGGGUGGCUGGGUGAGCGCUCAUCAGUCCCAGACAGCAGGUUGGCACAAAACGACACUGCCCACAAAACCACAGGAAGAAGAGAAACUCCGACUGUCUUUCAGCACACAGAAGACACUGUACUGGACCCGGACAUUAGGCAGACACCCACGCCUGACUUUCAGGAGAAAAGAGAACAUGACUAACGGAUAUUCUUAGUAGAUGGUUUAUUAGAAAAGAGAACAUCUUCCAGCAUGUGUCCUGGGGUGAUGGGUGUGGGAAGCACUCAGUCCAUAGUCCUGGUCCCUGGCUUCCCCAAGCCCAGCACCAUGAAUGUACAGUGGAAAGCAGAGGGUGCAGCGUCUCAGAAAGAUGCUUCCACUCACAAGGAUUGGAGCUCACAAGUGAGCUCCAUAACCUGCAAACCAGAGAAACCUGAGACACUGCCCCUUGGCCAUUUUAUCAACGGAGACUUUAUUGUGAUUAUCCCGGCAGGGGGCCGAGCUCUCCUCUCUGCAACAGGAAAUGCUCUUUAGUGAAAAUGCAGCAUUUCUCCAAGGGUAACAAAGCUGAACGCCUGCUUAGCUUAUGAACCCUCAGUUGGCCUAGGUGGUGCAAAGACCCUGCUGUUACUGCUUUGAUCAUCAGUACUGUGGACUGUACCAGGAGAUCCCUGGGAAUGUGCUCUGGGCGGAAGCAGCUUUUAUCUUUGGCCCUCACCCAUGCUUUAUAUGGUGAGGUUGGGAAAAUGGCACAAGGCUUCUCCUGAACCUCAAAUCAACACCCUUGCCCCAUUUAGAUCCUAUCUGGCUGUUUCUUGCUAAUAUUACUGCAUCACUGCACCAUCUUUCCUAUUUCAGCAAA
rnacentral:lncRNA from 1 species